AUAUAACUGUUAUAAUCAGGUUACAACAGGCAAUUACGCUCCAAAGCUGUUACGAUAAGACAGUCAGAACGAGAAAAUAAUUUUCAUGAUUUCUGAUCCGUUUGGUUGGUGGUUUCUGAUCCGCAGUAAGGAGGUUUCUGAUCCGCAGUGAGGAGGUUUCUGAUCCGCAGUGAGGAGGUUUCUGAUCCGCAGUGAGGAGGUUUCUGAUCCGCAGUGAGGAGGUUUCUGAUCCGCAGUGAGGAGGUUUCUGAUCCGCAGUGAGGAGGUUUCUGAUCCGCAGUGAGGAGGUUUCUGAUCCGCAGUGAGGAGGUUUCUGAUCCGCA